rnacentral:lncRNA from 1 species
GUCUCUUUCCAACAUGCUCUUUGCCUUCUAUGUAGUGAUGUCUUCUGGCUUUCAAGUUUUAAAACCUGUAUGCCCUUGAUCCUACUCCUUCCUCCACUAUUCACCUCCUUGGAAAUCUGAGAGACAUUCAUGUCCCAGGAGUGACCAGCUUGAAGAGAGCUGAAACCCAGCCCCAUUGCACAGCUGGCUCCCAAGGAUCUAUCUUGGCCAUCAGUGUAAAAGGUUCUAUCCUUCACCACUUGAGCAGCC